AGAACGAACGCUGGCGGCAGGCCUAACACAUGCAAGUCGAACGCGAUCUUCGGAUCGAGUGGCGCACGGGUGAGUAACGCGUGGGAAUCUGCCCUAUGGUACGGAAUAACAUCGGGAAACUGGUGCUAAUACCGUAUAUCCCCUGAGGGGGAAAGAUUUAUCGCCAUGGGAGGAGCCCGCGUAGGAUUAGCUAGUUGGUGAGGUAACGGCUCACCAAGGCGACGAUCCUUAGCUGGUCUGAGAGGAUGAUCAGCCACACUGGGACUGAGAUACGGCCCAGACUCCUACGGGAGGCAGCAGUGGGGAAUAUUGGACAAUGGGGGAAACCCUGAUCCAGCCAUGCCGCGUGUGUGAUGAAGGCCUUCGGGUUGUAAAGCACUUUCGCACGUGACGAUGAUGACGGUAACGUGAGAAGAAGCCCGGCUAACUUCGUGCCAGCAGCCGC
rnacentral:rRNA from 1 species